AAAUGACGCUCAAACAGGCAUGCCCUUUGGAAUACCAAAGGGCGCAAUGUGCGUUCAAAGAUUCGAUGAUUCACGAAUAUCUGCAAUUCAUAUUACUUAUCGCAUUUCGCUGCGUUCUUCAUCGAUGCGAGAACCAAGAGAUCCGUUGUUGAAAGUU
rnacentral:rRNA from 1 species